CCUACGGGAGGCAGCAGUGAGGAAUAUUGGUCAAUGGACGCAAGUCUGAACCAGCCAUGCCGCGUGCAGGAAGACGGCUCUAUGAGUUGUAAACUGCUUUUGUACGAGGGUAAACGCAGAUACGCGUAUCUGUCUGAAAGUAUCGUACGCAUAAGGAUCGGCUAACUCCGUGCCAGCAGCCGCGGUAAUACGGAGGAUUCAAGCGUUAUCCGGAUUUAUUGGGUUUAAAGGGUGCGUAGGCGGUCGGAUAAGUUAGAGGUUAAAUCCCGAGGCUCAACUUCGGAAUUGCCUUUGAUACUGUUCGGCUAGAGAGUAGUUGCGGUAGGCGGAAUGUAUGGUGUAGCGGUGAAAUGCUUAGAGAUCAUACAGAACACCGAUUGCGAAGGCAGCUUACCAAGCUACUUCUGACGUUGAGGCACGAAAGCGUGGGGAGCAAACAGGAUUAGAUACCCUAGUAGUC
rnacentral:rRNA from 1 species